rnacentral:lncRNA from 1 species
UGACUCUACUUUGCUGUGUGUGACGGCUCCCGGUGAACCCAAAAGAUAAUGUUUCUGAAUCUGCAAAGCUGAACACAAAAUCAUGCUGACCCCAAAGGACAGUCAUCCCCUGAAAAGCCUCUGACCACAUCUCACCCAGAACACUGCCCACCUGGUCAUCAGGAAAGGAUGAAGCAUGUUCCCUGUGCUCCAUUGAGUGUGGUAGUGCAGUGUGCCCUAAUGUCAACAUUUCCAGGAUCCCUCUCCACUUCCUCCGUGAGCCAGAUUCUCCUGCUGUCGCCUGCUACUCACAACUCGGGGAGCAGCAGCGGAAAAGGAAGUCAAACCAAGAAAGAAGAAAGGACAGAAAAGACUGGGUGCGCUGUGUCUGGUUAGACUGAAUGCUCGGUGACUUCUCUGCUUCUGUUCCUGGCUGCCUCUCAGAAACUUCAGAAGCCAAAGCUGUCUGAUUCAGCUUAGGGCUUCUUUCUGGGAAGUGCCCUCAGCUGGCCUAAAGCUCCAGCCUCCUGCCUUGGCCAGUGUGGAUACUCUAGAGACAAGCUGCCCCAUAUUUCCUCCACCAAUACUGAUCAGUGGGCUCCAGAAGGCUAGCAUCUUCAGCUGAUUUGUCCCAGCUGGAUUCAAUAAAAACUCUUGAGGAGAUGAGACACAGUCCCAUUUCCCCACCUCAGUCUCAGAUUCCAC